rnacentral:lncRNA from 1 species
GUUACUACGCAAUCUACCGGAUGCUCGACCUUUGGAGACUUACUCACCCGUAGUAGAAGGAGUAAACAUGUGUUUAGGAGAAGAAAAAUCAAUGAAGGGUUUGUAGGGUUAGGGAUGCUCAUCCAAAAUUUUCUUUUAUUUUAUUUAUUUAUUUUAAUUUUUUUUUUCGUUUUUCUUUUUUUUUCUUUUCGUUUUUCAUUUUUUUUUCUAAACACGUGGGCUUCGCCUAGCG